UCAGGGUCCCCCCGCAAUGAUAACUUGUGGACUUGGUCAGAGCCGGAAGGCAGCAGCCACAGCAAGCGACUCAUGUGCCGGGGUGUUGGCUCUGAGGG
rnacentral:SRP_RNA from 1 species